rnacentral:rRNA from 1 species
GAUGAACGCUGGCGGCGUGCCUAAUACAUGCAAGUCGAGCGAACGGACGAGAAGCUUGCUUUUCUGAUGUUAGCGGCGGACGGGUGAGUAACACGUGGAUAACCUACCUAUAAGACUGGGAUAACUUCGGGAAACCGGAGCUAAUACCGGAUAAUAUUUUGAACCGCAUGGUUCAAAAGUGAAAGACGGUCUUGCUGUCACUUAUAGAUGGAUCCGCGCUGCAUUAGCUAGUUGGUAAGGUAACGGCUUACCAAGGCAACGAUGCAUAGCCGACCUGAGAGGGUGAUCGGCCACACUGGAACUGAGACACGGUCCAGACUCCUACGGGAGGCAGCAGUAGGGAAUCCUCCGCAAUGGGCGAAAGCCUGACGGAGCAACGCCGCGUGAGCGAUGAAGGUCUUCGGAUCGUAAAACUCUGUUAUUAGGGAAGAACAUAUGUGUAAGUAACUGUGCACAUCUUGACGGUACCUAAUCAGAAAGCCACGGCUAACUACGUG